rnacentral:rRNA from 1 species
AUUGAACGCUGGCGGCAUGCCUUACACAUGCAAGUCGAACGGUAACAGGUCUUCGGAUGCUGACGAGUGGCGAACGGGUGAGUAAUACAUCGGAACGUGCCUAGUAGUGGGGGAUAACUACUCGAAAGAGUGGCUAAUACCGCAUGAGAUCUACGGAUGAAAGCAGGGGAUCGCAAGACCUUGUGCUACUAUAGCGGCCGAUGGCAGAUGAGGUAGUUGGUGGGAUAAAAGCUUACCAAGCCGACGAUCUGUAGCUGGUCUGAGAGGACGAUCAGCCACACUGGGACUGAGACACGGCCCAGACUCCUACGGGAGGCAGCAGUGGGGGAUUUUGGACAAUGGGCGCAAGCCUGAUCCAGCAAUGCCGCGUGCAGGAUGAAGGCCUUCGGGUUGUAAACUGCUUUUGUACGGAACGAAAAGCCCCGGGUUAAUACCCUGGGGUCAUGACGGUACCGUAAGAAUAAGCACCGGCUAACUACGUGCCAGCAGCCGCCGUAA